CGAACGAGUGGAACUUGUUCUGCUAGUGGCAAACGGGCGAGUAAUACAUAUUUAACUUACUUUUACGAGGAGGAUAGCAGUUCGAAAGGACUAUUAAUACUCCAUAGGUUUAUAAACUAAAUCAAAGAGGCUCCCUCGGGGGCCUCGCGUGAAAAUAGGAAUAUGUCCUAUUAGGUAGUUGGCGGGGUAAAGGCCCACCAAGCCAGUGAUGGGUAGCUGGACUGAGAGGUUGAACAGCCGCAAUGGGAUUGAGAUAUGGCCCAUAUUCCUACGGGAAGCAGCAGUGAGGAAUUUUUCACAAUGGACGAAAGUCUGAUGGAGCAAUACCACGUGAACGAUGAAGGUCUUCUGAUUGUAAAGUUCUUUUAUUUAGGGAAAAAAGCGCGCUAGGAAAUGAGCACGCCUUGAUGGUACUA
rnacentral:rRNA from 1 species